rnacentral:rRNA from 1 species
UGGGUUAGUCGGGUCCUAAGCUGAGGCCGACAGGCGUAGGCGAUGGAUAACAGGUUGAUAUUCCUGUACCACCUAUAAUCGUUUUAAUCGAUGGGGGGACGCAGUAGGAUAGGCGAAGCGUGCGAUUGGAUUGCACGUCUAAGCAGUAAGGCUGAGUAUUAGGCAAAUCCGGUACUCGUUAAGGCUGAGCUGUGAUGGGGAGAAGACAUUGUGUCUUCGAGUCGUUGAUUUCACACUGCCGAGAAAAGCCUCUAGAUAGAAAAUAGGUGCCCGUACCGCAAACCGACACAGGUAGUCAAGAUGAGAAUUCUAAGGUGAGCGAGCGAACUCUCGUUAAGGAACUCGGCAAAAUGACCCCGUAACUUCGGGAGAAGGGGUGCUCUUUAGGGUUAACGCCCAGAAGAGCCGCAGUGAAUAGGCCCAAGCGACUGUUUAUCAAAAACACAGGUCUCUGCUAAACCGUAAGGUGAUGUAUAGGGGCUGACGCCUGCCCGGUGCUGGAAGGUUAAGAGGAGUGGUUAGCUUCUGCGAAGCUACGAAUCGAAGCCCCAGUAAACGGCGGCCGUAACUAUAACGGUCCUAAGGUAGCGAAAUUCCUUGUCGGGUAAGUUCCGACCCGCACGAAAGGCGUAACGAUUUGGGCACUGUCUCAACGAGAGACUCGGUGAAAUCAUAGUACCUGUGAAGAUGCAGGUUACCCGCGACAGGACGGAAAGACCCCGUGGAGCUUUACUGUAGCCUGAUAUUGAAAUUCGGCACAGCUUGUACAGGAUAGGUAGGAGCCUUUGAAACGUGAGCGCUAGCUUACGUGGAGGCGCUGGUGGG